rnacentral:pre_miRNA from 7 species
UUUUACCCUAUACAUGUAAGACCCCCUUUCAGGGACCCCCCACUCUAGUCUCGGGAGUGAGAGAGCACCCUAAGAAACACGAUAAUCC